rnacentral:rRNA from 1 species
ACGCUGAAGAGAGGAGCUUGCUCUUCUUGGAUGAGUUGCGAACGGGUGAGUAACGCGUAGGUAACCUGCCUUGUAGCGGGGGAUAACUAUUGGAAACGAUAGCUAAUACCGCAUAACAAUGGAUGACACAUGUCAUUUAUUUGAAAGGGGCAAUUGCUCCACUACAAGAUGGACCUGCGUUGUAUUAGCUAGUAGGUGAGGUAAUGGCUCACCUAGGCGACGAUACAUAGCCGACCUGAGAGGGUGAUCGGCCACACUGGGACUGAGACACGGCCCAGACUCCUACGGGAGGCAGCAGUAGGGAAUCUUCGGCAAUGGGGGCAACCCUGACCGAGCAACGCCGCGUGAGUGAAGAAGGUUUUCGGAUCGUAAAGCUCUGUUGUAAGUCAAGAACGGGUGUGAGAGUGGAAAGUUCACACUGUGACGGUAGCUUACCAGAAAGGGACGGCUAACUACGUGCCAGCAGCCGCGGUAAUACGUAGGUCCCGAGCGUUGUCCGGAUUUAUUGGGCGUAAAGCGAGCGCAGGCGGUUUGAUAAGUCUGAAGUUAAAGGCUGUGGCUCAACCAUAGUUCGCUUUGGAAACUGUCAAACUUGAGUGCAGAAGGGGAGAGUGGAAUUCCAUGUGUAGCGGUGAAAUGCGUAGAUAUAUGGAGGAACACCGGUGGCGAAAGCGGCUCUCUGGUCUGUAACUGACGCUGAGGCUCGAAAGCGUGGGGAGCGAACAGGAUUAGAUACCCUGGUAGUCCACGCCGUAAACGAUGAGUGCUAGGUGUUGGAUCCUUUCCGGGAUUCAGUGCCGCAGCUAACGCAUUAAGCACUCCGCCUGGGGAGUACGACCGCAAGGUUGAAACUCAAAGGAAUUGACGGGGGCCCGCACAAGCGGUGGAGCAUGUGGUUUAAUUCGAAGCAACGCGAAGAACCUUACCAGGUCUUGACAUCCCGAUGCUAUUUCUAGAGAUAGAAAGUUACUUCGGUACAUCGGUGACAGGUGGUGCAUGGUUGUCGUCAGCUCGUGUCGUGAGAUGUUGGGUUAAGUCCCGCAACGAGCGCAACCCUUAUUGUUAGUUGCCAUCAUUCAGUUGGGCACUCUAGCGAGACUGCCGGUAAUAAACCGGAGGAAGGUGGGGAUGACGUCAAAUCAUCAUGCCCCUUAUGACCUGGGCUACACACGUGCUACAAUGGUUGGUACAACGAGUUGCGAGUCGGUGACGGCGAGCUAAUCUCUUAAAGCCAAUCUCAGUUCGGAUUGUAGGCUGCAACUCGCCUACAUGAAGUCGGAAUCGCUAGUAAUCGCGGAUCAGCACGCCGCGGUGAAUACGUUCCCGGGCCUUGUACACACCGCCCGUCACACCACGAGAGUUUGUAACACCCGAAGUCGGUGAGGUAACCU